UCUCUGGUAGUAUAUCGGUUAGUACACGCGCCUGUCAUCAGUCGGCUUCACCAGCCUGCCUGUGUGCGCGCGAAAGCGGGGUUCGACUCCCCGCCAGAGAG